CACGUAGGGUGCGAGCGUUGUCCGGAAUUAUUGGGCGUAAAGAGCUCGUAGGCGGUUUGUUGCGUCGGCUGUGAAAUCCCGAGGCUCAACCUCGGGUCUGCAGUCGAUACGAGCAAACUAGAGUGUGGCAGGGGAGACUGGAAUUCCUGGUGUAGCGGUGAAAUGCGCAGAUAUCAGGAGGAACACCGGUGGCGAAGGCGGGUCUCUGGGCAACAACUGACGCUGAGGAGCGAAAGCGUGGGGAGCGAACAGG
rnacentral:rRNA from 1 species